ensembl:ncRNA lncRNA:CR45967 long non-coding RNA:CR45967
UCCGCACUGGGCUGGCAAAAAUGAAUUCUGCUGGACGCACUCAAAUAUACAAAUAUUAAAAAAAAACCCGAUGCCCACAAAGCAAACACUUCCGCACCCUUUUAACCCGCAUCCCCGAGAUGUCAACCACUUGGGCUGGCCAAAAAAUUGCCUUUCGGAUGACGACAGCUGUGGCGCGGAGUCGCAGGACGUCGAGCUCCCGCGGCAAAUGCUUCCCAAUCAGAGACGCGUAAUUAAAAUAUGUACAAACAGACCGAAGGGAAAACUCUCAUGUAAGAAAACACUGAGCAGCGCCAACUUUGUUUGCUUUGCCUGUUUUUCUAUAAAACCAAAAGCAAAACCAAAGCAACAAACACAACAGCGGCAGGGGGAAGCGCGGCCAAGCAAUAAUACCAAGAAAAACAUUUGCAUAAAGCAACAAACAGGGAAAUGGAUGGAGUGGGGCCCAGACGACCAGGACCUUCAAGCGAAAGUUAAUGAGGGCUGGGCCUUAGAGCUGGCAUCGUGACACGGGAUCAAGAAUAAGGGUUUUUAAAUGCAUACAAUAACAAAUUGUCGACCUCGACCUAAUUCCUAUUUUGAUGUUUUGUAUUAAGUGUGUUUAUUUUAGAGCUAACUAAAU